rnacentral:rRNA from 1 species
UACGGAAGGCAGCAGUGGGGAAUAUUGCACAAUGGGCGCAAGCCUGAUGCAGCCAUGCCGCGUGUAUGAAAAAGGCCUUCGGGUUGUAAAGUACUUUCAGUCGUGAGGAAGGUGUUAAGGUUAAUAACCUUAGCAAUUGACGUUAGCGACAGAAGAAGCACCGGCUAACUCCGUGCCAGCAGCCGCGGUAAUACGGAGGGUGCGAGCGUUAAUCGGAAUUACUGGGCGUAAAGGGCACGCAGGCGGUUAAUUAAGUUGGAUGUGAAAUCCCCGGGCUUAACCUGGGAAUGGCAUUCAAGACUGGUUAGCUAGAGUCUUGUAGAGGGGGUAGAAUUCCAUGUGUAGCGGUGAAAAUGCGUAGAGAUGUGGAGGAAUACCGGUGGCGAAAGGCGGCCCCUGGACAAAGGACUGACGCUCAUGUGCGAAAAGCGUGGGGAGCAAAACAGGGAUUAGAUACC